GGCUACUAGAAAAUUUAGCUGGGUGAGGUGGUUCACACCUGUAAUCCCAGCACUUUGGGAGGCCAAGACAUUUCCCUACAUACCUAGAAUUUUGUUUACGAUGAACAGAAUGUUGGGUAAGAGUCUCUUGAGCUGAAACAGUUACACCCCCGCAGCUGGGAAAAGCUAUUCCCUCUGCAUUAGGCCAACGGGAAGCCCACACCUCCUGAUACAACCCAUACCACGGUUGCCUUCCCCUCCUGGAUGUCACAGAGAAGGAUUUAAAAAUGACUCCCGGCCAGCAUGGUGUCUCAUGCUCAGCACAUUGGGAGGCCUAGACGGGAAGAUUGCUUGAGGGCAGCAGUUCAAGGCAAGCCUGGGCAACAUAGGGAGACCCUGUCCCUAUUAUUUUUUUUUUUGAUGUUAAAAAAAAUUUAAUUUAAUUAAAUAAAAAUGGUUCCCAAGUCAAAGAGAAUAAAGAACCACAGAAGUUA
rnacentral:lncRNA from 1 species